UAAUACGUAGGGAGCAAGCGUUGUUCGGAUUUACUGGGCGUAAAGGGCGCGUAGGCGGCGCGGUAAGUCACUUGUGAAAUCUCUGAGCUUAACUCAGAACGGCCAAGUGAUACUGCAGUGCUAGAGUGCAGAAGGGGCAAUCGGAAUUCUUGGUGUAGCGGUGAAAUGCGUAGAUAUCAAGAGGAACACCUGAGGUGAAGACGGGUUGCUGGGCUGACACUGACGCUGAGGCGCGAAAGCCAGGGGAGCAAACGGGAUUAGAUACCCCGGUAGUCCUGGCCCUAAACGAUGAAUACUUGGUGUCUGGAGUUUCAAGACUUCGGGUGCCGUCGCUAACGUUUUAAGUAUUCCGCCUGGGGAGUACGCUCGCAAGAGUG
rnacentral:rRNA from 1 species